rnacentral:rRNA from 1 species
UGGUCAAGUUAUUAAGGGUGCAGGGCGGAUGCCUUGGCACUAGGAGCCGAUGAAGGACGUGAUAAGCUGCGAUAAGCUUCGGGGAGUUGCACGUAAACUUUGAUCCGAAGAUUUCCGAAUGAGGAAACUCACUUAGAGUAAUGUCUAAGUAUCAUUAAGUGAAUACAUAGCUUAAUGAGGGGAACUCAGGGAACUGAAACAUCUAAGUACCUGAAGGAAGAGAAAGAAAUUCGAUUCCGUAAGUAGCGGCGAGCGAACGCGGAUUAGCCCAAACCAAUAAAGUUUUCUUUAUUGGGGUUGCGGACAUAUCAUAACGAAGAGGUAUCGUAAUUGAAGAGGUUUGGAAAGACCCACCACAGAAGGUAAUAGUCCUGUAUGUUAAACGAGAAGACUUUAGAUAUGAUCCAGAGUACCACGGGACACGUGAAACCCUGUGGGAAGCAGGAGGGACCACCCUCCAAGGCUAAAUACUACCUAGUGACCGAUAGCGUAUAGUACCGUGAGGGAAAGGUGAAAAGAACCCCGGGAGGGGAGUGAAAUAGAACCUGAAACCCUGCACUUACAAGCUGUGGAAGCACAUUUCUUGUGUGACCGCGUACUUUUUGUAGAACGGGCCAACGAGUUACGUUAAGUAGCAAGGUUAAGCACUUAAGGUGCGGAGCCGUAGCGAAAGCGAGUUUUAACUGAGCGUUCAGUUACUUGACGUAGACCCGAAACCGGGCGACCUACCCAUGAGCAGGAUGAAGCGAAAGUAAAAUUUCGUGGAGGUCCGAACCCACGAGCGUUGAAAAGCUCGGGGAUGACUUGUGGGUAGCGGUGAAAUUCCAAUCGAGCCCGGAGAUAGCUGGUUCUCCCCGAAAUAGCUUUAGGGCUAGCCUCA